GCGGCCUGAGCUGGCGGAAACCCAACGGGAGCUGGCGGAAACCCAACGCGAGCUGGCUCUUCUGGAGGUUGAGGCCAGCUGGACAUUCCCAGGAGCAUGUACCCUGAGCCACUCAGCGCUUUGCGUGGGCUUUUAACUGCCCCUCUGGACUGCUAAACUAAGGAGUGCGGAGCCACUUGGACACGCGCAUUUUAGACUUUAGGGACCUCGGAGACCACUUGAGUCUGUCAGCCUCAGUCCUGUGGGACUCUGCAACCCUAUCGUGGACUGUAGCCCGCCAGGCUCCUCUGUCUAUGGAAUUUUUUAGGCAAGAAAACUGGAGCUGUUUGUCAUUUCCUACUUCAGAGAUCUUCCUUCCCAAACCAGGGCUGGAACCGGUGUCUCUUGCGUCUCUUGCAUUGGCAGGUGGAUUCUUUGCCACUCCGUCACCGUGGAAGCCCAGAGACCACUUUCCCAUCCCAAACUACCUCUGGUAUAUCGGAAGAGCUUUUAGCUGCCUGUACACAUGUUAUUCUUUCUUAUGUCAUCUGGCUAAAGGAAGCCUUGACUGUAAAGGAGAAUACCACAGUAUGGCGACCACUGAGAAAUGAGACAGGAAGCUCCACAAAUACUGGUUAGUUCCUUGAGGAAGGAGACUGCCAUGAAAUUGGACAAUCAUUGUGGAUUGCCUCUGGAUAUCUGCUCAAACACAUCCUCCAACACAUCCCCUAAGAGCUCUUGUUUGCUGGUCAGUUUCAGGCCACAGCAAUCAGAAAAGAAGAAAUAAAAGGAAGAGAAGAAAAUUGGAAGAGAAGAAAAACUCUAUUUACAUAUGACCUGAUAUUAUAUAUAGAAAACCCUGAAGUCUCUAUCAAAAAAGAGAAAUUAAGGAAAUGAUCCCAUUUACAAUGACAUCAAAAAGAAAGAAGUACCUAGGAAUAAACUUAACCAAGAAUGUGAAAGACCUAUACUCUGAAAGCUAUAAAUCAUUAAUGAAGGAAUUUGAAAAUGAUACAAAGAAAUGGGAAGAUAUCCAUAAGGGAUUAAUAUCCAGCAUAUAUAAACAGCUCAUGUGCUGUGCUAUGCAGCGCUCAGUCGUUUAAGUCAUGUCCAGCUCUUUGCAGCCCCAUGGACCAUAGGCCACCAGACUCCUCUGUCCAUGGGAUUUUCCUUGCAAGAGUACUGGAGUGGGUUGCCAUGCCCUCCUCCAGGGGCUCUUCCCAACCCAGGGAUAGAACCUGAGUCUCCUGUGUCUCCUGUAUUUCAGGCAGAUUCUUUGUUGCUGAGCCAUCAAGAAAGCCCAAACAGCUCAUAUAAUUAUAUAUAUAUAUAUAUUUUUUUUUUAACUAAUUUAAAAAAUGUGCAAGAAGAAGCUGAAUAGACAUUUUUUUUCCAAACGAGACAUAAAGAUGGCUUACAGGCACAUGGAAAAAUGCUCAGCAUCACUAAUUAUUAGAGAAAUGUAAAUCAAAAGCAAAAGGAGAUAGCACUUCACACUUGUCAGAAUGGCUCUCAUUAAAAAGUCUUCAAAUAACUAAUGUUGGUGAGGAUGAGGAGAAAAAGGAAUCUGGUAAACUGUUGAUAGGUGCAGCUACCAUGAAAAUAGUAUGCGGUUUCCUCAAAGAACUAAAGAUAGAAAUACCAUAUGAUCCACCAAUGCCACUGUUGGGUAUAUGUCCAAAAAUAAAAGUCCCACUAAUUUGAAAAGAUACAUGCAUGCCAAUGUUCAUAGAAGAAUUAUCCCCAAUAGCCAAGCUAUAAGGCUAUUUCAGACCUUAAAAGAUGAUGUUGCUAAAGUGCUACACUCAAUAUGCCAGCAAAUUUGGAAAACUCAGAAGUGGCCACAGGACUGGAAAAGGUCAGUUUUCAUUCCAAUCCCAAAGAAAGGCAAUGCCAAAGAAUGUUCAAACUACCACACAAUUACACUCUUCUCACAGGCUAGCAAAGUAAUGCUCAAAAUUCUCCAGGCCAGGCUUCAAUACUAUGUGAAUUGAGAACUUCCAGAUGUUCAAGCUGGAUUUAGAAAAGGUAGAGGAACCAGAGGUCAAAUUGCCAACAUCCAAUGGAUCAUAGAAAAAACAAGAAAAUCCCAGAAAAACAUCUACUUCUGCUUCAUUGACUACACUAAAGUCUUUGACUAUGUGGAUCACAACAAAAUAUGGAAAAUUCUUAAAGAAAUGGGAAUACCAGAACAUCUCACCUGCCUCCUAAGAAACCUGUAUGCAGGUCAAGAAGCAACAAUUAGAACCAGACAUGGAACAAAAGACUGGUUCAAAAUUGGGAAAGGAGUACAUCAAGGCUGUAUAUUAUCACCCUGCUUCUUUAACUUCUAUGCAGAGUACAUCAUGAGAAAUGCUGGCUGGACGAAGCACAAGCUGGAAUCAAGAUUGCCAGGAGAAAUAUCAGUAACCGCAGAUAUGCAGAUGACGCCAUCCUUAUGGCAGAAAGUGAAGAGGAACUGAAAAACCUCUUCGUGAAGGUAAAAGAGGAGAGUGAAAAAGCUGGCUUGAAACUCUAACUUCAAAAAAUCAAGAUCAUGGCACAGGUCCCAUCACUUCAUGGCAAAUAGGUGGGGAAACAAUGAAAGCAGUGACAGACUUUAUUUUGGGGGGCUCCAAAAUCACUGCAGAUGGUGGCUGCAGCCAUGAAAUUAAAAGAUGCUUGCUCCUUGGAAGAAAAGCUAUGACUAACCUAGACAGCAUAUUGAAAAGCAGAGACAUUACUUUGUCGCAAAGAUCCAUCUAGUCAAAGCUAUGGUUUUUCCAGUAGUCAUAUAUGGAUGUGAGAGUUGGACCCUAAAGAAGGCUGAGUGCCGAAGAAUUGAUGUUUUUGAAUUGUGGUGUUGGAGAAAACUCUUGAGGGUCCCAUGGACUGCAAGGAGAUCAAACCAGUCAAUCCUAAUGGAAAUCAGUCCUGAAUAUUCAUUGGAAGGACUGAUGCUGAAGCUGAAACUCCAAUACUUUGGCCACUUCAUGCUAAGAGUCAACUCAUUGGAAAAGACCCUGGUGCUGGGAAAAAUUGAAGGCAGGGGGAAAAGGGGACGACAGAGGAUGAGAUGGUUGGAUGGCGUCACUGGCUCAAUGAACAUGAGUUUGAGCAAGCUCUGGGAGUUGCUGAUGGACAGGGAAGCCUGGCGUGCUGCAGUCUAUGGGGUUGCAAAAACUCGGACAUGACUGAGUGACUGAACUACAACAACAACAAUAAGAUAUAGAAGUAACACAAGCCCAUCAGCAGAUGAAUGGAUAAAGAAGAUGUGGUAUAUAUAUACAAUGGAAUAUUACCUAGCCAUAAUGAAGAAUGAAAUUCUGCCCUUUGCAACAGUGUGGAUGUACCUAGAGACUAUUAUGCUUAGUGAAGUAAGUCAGAUGGAGGAAGACAAAUAUUCUUAUGUUCUCACUUAUAUGUAGAAAUUAAGAAAAUAAAGCAUACAAAUGUGUAUAACAAAAAAGAAACAGAGUCAAGAAUAUAAGAACAAAGUAGUAUUUAGCAGUGGGGAGAGGGAAGGGAAGAGGGACAAGAUGGAGUUAUGGGAUUAAGAGACACAAACUAUUGCAUAUAAAAUAAAUAAGGAACAAGUA